rnacentral:rRNA from 1 species
UGCGUAGGCGGAAGAUUAAGUCAGUGAUGAAAUCCUGCAGCUCAACUGUAGAACUGUCAUUGAUACUGAUUUUCUUGAAUACAGUUGAGGUAGGCGGAAUAUGUAAUGUAGCGGUGAAAUGCUUAGAUAUUACAUAGAACACCGAUUGCGAAGGCAGCUUACUAAACUGUGAUUGACACUGAGGCACGAAAGCGUGGGGAGCGAACAGGAUUAGAUACCCUGGUAGUCC